rnacentral:rRNA from 1 species
GUCGAGCGAUGAAGCACCUUCGGGUGUGAAUUAGCGGCGAACGGGUGAGGAACACGUGAAGAAUCUGCCUUCAACUCUGGGAUAACUCCGGGAAACCGGGGCUAAUACCGGAUAUGAGCCUUGAUCGCAUGAUCGGGGCUGGAAAGUUUUUCGGUUGAAGAUGACUUCGCGGCCUAUCAGCUUGUUGGUGAGGUAAUGGCUCACCAAGGCGACGACGGGUAGCCGGCCUGAGAGGGCGACCGGCCACACUGGGACUGAGACACGGCCCAGACUCCUACGGGAGGCAGCAGUGGGGAAUAUUGGGCAAUGGAGGAAACUCUGACCCAGCGACGCCGCGUGAGGGAUGAAGGCCUUCGGGUUGUAAACCUCUUUCAGUAGGAAAGAAGCGAAAGUGACGGUACCUACAGAAGAAGCACCGGCUAACUAUGUGCCAGCAGCCGCGGUAAUACAUAGGGUGCAAGCGUUGUCCGGAAUUAUUGGGCGUAAAGAGCUCGUAGGUGGUUCGAUACGUCGGAUGUGAAAAUCAGGGGCUCAACCCCUGACCUGCAUCCGAUACGGUCGAGCUAGAGUUUGGUAGGGGAGACUGGAAUUCCUGGUGUAGCGGUGGAAUGCGCAGAUAUCAGGAGGAACACCGAUGGCGAAGGCAGGUCUCUGGGCCAAUACUGACACUGAGGAGCGAAAGCGUGGGGAGCGAACAGGAUUAGAUACCCUGGUAGUCCACGCCGUAAACGGUGGGCGCUAGUUGUGCGAACCUUCCACGGUUUGUGCGACGCAGCUAACGCAUUAAGCGCCCCGCCUGGGGAGUACGAUCGCAAGAUUAAAACUCAAAUGAAUUGACGG